GAUGAACGCUAGCUACAGGCUUAACACAUGCAAGUCGAGGGGCAGCAUGAAGUUUGCUUGCAAACUUUGAUGGCGACCGGCGGAUGGGUGAGUAACGCGUAUCCAACCUGCCCCCUUCCCGGGCACAGCCCUUGGAAACGAGGAUUAACUCCCGAUGGCGUCGCCUUAACGCAUGUUUCGGCGACCAAAAGUUUAAGGAAGGGGAUGGGGAUGCGUCCCAUUAGCUUGUUGGCGGGGUAACGGCCCACCAAGGCUCCGAUGGGUAGGGGUUCUGAGAGGAAGGUCCCCCACACUGGAACUGAGACACGGUCCAGACUCCUACGGGAGGCAGCAGUGAGGAAUAUUGGUCAAUGGAGGCAACUCUGAACCAGCCAAGUAGCGUGAGGGACGACUGCCCUACGGGUUGUAAACCUCUUUUGUCGGGGAAUAAACCGCGCCACGUGUGGCGCUCUGCAUGUACCCGCAGAAUAAGGACCGGCUAAUUCCGUGCCAGCCGCCGCUGUAAUAC
rnacentral:rRNA from 1 species